rnacentral:tRNA from 1 species
GCAGGGAUGGCUCAGUGGUUAGAGCACUGCUGCUCUUCCAGAGGACCUGGGUCCAAUUCCCAGCACCCACA